GUGAUCGAGUCCAUCGAUACUGGGAAGACUAGCACACUUGAUACACAAGUGAAGAGACUCGGCAUUAGUGCUGGCAAAACUCCAGCAGACUGGGCCGGGCAGGGACCUUCUCCAGCUGACGGCUCCGUCCAGCUGGCCUGGGCCCGUGGAGAGGGUGGCACGCUGGGACCAGGAAGACACCUGCUGUGCCCUCUGCGGUCUGUGGCAGCCUCAGCCAGGGUCUUUGGGAUCCGCGCUCCUGGCCAGCACAGCAGGGAAAGGAGAAGACCCAGGGGCGCACCGCCUGGGGAGGAGGGUCGGGCCACCGAGUCCUCCUGGCCAGCGCUGUCCAGGAGAAAAGCCCAAAGGAGCUACAGGAAGAGGAGGAGAACUGGGCAGGCAGCAAGUUCAUGGGACCAGCUUCACAGUAGGAACCCUGCUUCUACGGGUGCAAGGCCACCUCCAGGGCGAGGCGUGGCGGCGGCAUUCUGCCGGGUGCCUUAGCCAGAGCAGGGACAAGGGCCAAAGGCAGGGAGGACGGUGUGCGGGCCAUAGCCGCCCAGGGAGGCAUAGGCUGAGGCCUCUGCCCCCGGGCUUCACCGCAAAGCUCAGGAAGGAUGGACAGGAGGCAGGAAUGGGAGCAAGGCUGCUCUGCGGGCCCCUGAGGGUUGAGCAGCUGCCAGUUGUCUCCCGGGCUGUGUCCUGGUGCCAGGCAGGGGCUUCACCAUCUCCUGGGAAGAGAGCAGUGAGGCUGCGGCUCACAAAGGGCCGGUGGGUCCAGCGCCCCCAUGUGUGCAGCCUGGGGGUCCCCCUGCUGUGACCUCAGGCCAUGCUGAUCCCGGGCUGCAGGUGCCCGCUGAGAAGCGGGAGGUGCUGGCAGGUGUCCACUGUGCCGACUGUGUGCCACGCGUGCCCCUCACAGCCCCUGCUGUGCCCUCCGUGUGCCACGUGAGGACUGCCUGUCUGUUCCUGCAGUACACAGGCGCCAGCACGGCCUCUGCCCGGGCCUGAGCUCUCCCCGCCCGCCUUCCUAGGGGCAGGAGGAGGAGAGAGGACAUCGGGCGACGUCCUGACGCCUGGCCCUUUCACCUGCUGCUUCACAGGCCGGGGGCACUGGCCCUGCUGACUCCGCCUCCAUAGUGCAGCCUUCCCCUCCGCAUCUUCCCCUCAGCCCCCUGCCCUCUGCCCUUGCUCAGGGUGUCUCCUUGUAUUGAGACCACUGCGGCAGGGGCUGAGCGCCUGGCACGGUACUGUGACCCGCUGCAGCCGGAAGUGCCCGGCUGUGGCUCCGCCCCUUCACUUCCGGGCAGCCCAGCCACCCGGCCUGCGCCCGGCGUCUCCUCCCCGCCCGCCCGCGCUGGACGCCUGGCUGCCCUCAGGUCUCAGCUGCGGUGGACAGGGAGUGCGGGGACCCUGAGGUCCAUCUUCUUCUUUUUGUUGUUGACGCGGUCUUGCUAUGUAGCCCAGGCUGGCCUCCAACUCGUGGUGAUUCUCCCGCCUCAGCCUCUUGCGUGCUGGUGUCAUGGGCGUGCGCCACUGUGGCUGGCUGAUUAGGCGGACGUUCUCAGGUUUCUCUGCUCGCCACUGACCAGGCCGGAGGCCACCUAUCUGAGCAAAAAGGACAAAGGGCUUACUCAAGGCUGGCCCCGAGGACACGGAGGGCCCACUUGCCUCAGGUCCCCCGCAGAGGCGGGAAAGGCCGUCCGUGGAACCAGGGGCGGGGAGGCCGAGCCAGGAGCCUGCGUGGAGCAGCCGCGUCCUUCUCCCCGCGAGGGCCGAAUCUUUGCCCGGGGCCCGCGCUCUCCCGGGGCCUCUGCUGCCCGGUUCUCGGGUUUCUGGGCAAAGGGAGAGGAAAUGGUAGAAAUGACAGCCGCGAAGCCGCACGUGACCACGACGCUGCUCGGUCCUGCGACCCAGCCAUCGCCGGCCGCCGUGCAGGUCUAUGCCUCGCCGCUUGUUCCACAGCUUCUGUUUCCGUGUGUGUGUGUUGCGCGCAUGCGCGGCACUCGGCAUCGAACCCAUGGCCUUUGCCCUCAGCUGCAGCCUCAGCCUUGUUUUAUCUCCUCUUCCUAAGUCACUACAUCGCCUUGUGACCCUCCUGCCUCAGCCUCCCAGAGGGCCGGGAUGACAGCUCUGUAUUUUAGGAACUGUAAUCAAGCUAGAUGGAGCCCACGAGCUCUGAGAAGCCACCGAGCAGCGGCCACUGUGUGUCAGCAGAGGAGGAGAGGAAAUGCUGAACAAUUCUCGGUCUCCGAGCCUGCAGAGGGAGGUGCAGACGGGACGGCACAAAACUCUUAGCCCAGUGCAGACUUCUGCUUUCCGGGCUUCAGAACGGCAAAAGGAAAUGGACCUGCAUGGAUCAAAUGCUCCCUGCGUUCUGCUCCUGCCGAGAGGCCAGCAAAGCCCAAGGACCGACGGGGCCACGGUCCCCUCAGUUUGAAUUACAGUGGAGCCGGUGCUGGGUGUGUGGUGGGUAAACGGUGCCACGUGCAGCCCGAACCCUCGCUGACUUGGAAUCGGGCUGCACAAACUCCCUGUGCGGUGGUGGGGAAAGUGCUGGUGCUGAAGAAAAAGCCCCAAGUGACUGGCGCACCUCGGCUUAACUCACUCAGACACGGGCUGGAGCAAUCAGAGUCCACAGGACCCAUCUGCCUCCCUCCCCCACGGUACUUCUCCCGGAAGGCAAGGUCGAGCCCCACCUGGACGGCAGGAAGCCACACCGGGCAGCUGAGCCUCCUGGGGGAACUCUCUUCGCUCACUCCACGGGACAGCGUCACCAAUCCCCAGAGCUGCUGUCCCCAGGGUCCUUCUCAGGGAGAGGGGCUCUUGGGAAACAGAGUUGCAAGCCCCUUCCCAUUCAUCAGGGCCACCUGAUACAAAGUAUCCUUUGCUCCUCUGGUGUGAUCAAAACAUGCAACUCCUAGUGAGGCUGGGUAAGGACCCAGGGUUCACAUUUAGCAGGUGUCCUGGGUGUCUAGAUUCUACCACCACAGAGAAUAAGACAGGAAAAACUUCCUCAGCCCAUCGUGGUGGUGCACACCUAUAAUCCCCGCACUGUGGGAGGCUGAGUCAGGAGAAUCACAAAUCCAAGCCAAGCCUAGACAAUUUAGUGACAGGUAGAUUCUGUUUUAGUCACUUUCCUUGUCACUAGGACACAGUGCAUGACACCAUCAAAUUAAAGCAGGACAGGUUUAUUUUGGCUCAUGUUUUGUGGAGGUCUCAGUCCACAGCUGGUGGCUCCAAGGCAGAAGUGGCACGUGGGAAGGGCCUGGGUGGAGGAGCUGCUCCCCUGCAGGAAGCAGACUGAAAGAAGCAAUGGAGGUGAGCUUGUGGACCCGGGCUCGGGUGUUUCCUUCCCAUUAUGGGUAGAAACUCGAGUCAGGGGCAGAGGGAGCGUUGCAUGACUUGGCCUCGCAUCUGGUGUGUGGGCACCGCACACAGCACGGCCGAGGGGGCCACCAGCUGUCCUUCCUCUGGUGUCCUCGGACCUCCCCGUCUUCCUGUGUGGUGGCUGCGCGGCACUGGGAGAGGAGAGGCCUUUGCGUGCCGCCCUCCGGGAGCUCCGACCCUCUGCUCCUCAGAGGCCGAGUCUCUGUGGGGUCUGGGGAGCAAACCACGGCCCUUCCACCAGUGGAAGGCAGGAGGGGUGCGGACAGCUUCCCCUCCGCUGCGCUGCACAGCUCCUGGCCCCUGCAGACUUCAGACGUGACACCACUCUCACUGGGCCCCAGUUGGCUGCUCCCCACACAAUUUGAAUUUCUAGACUGGCCCUGCUGGAGCCAGCGCCCCAAGACGCCUGAGCGCUUCGCUGCGGGACUCCUUGACACGUGGGCCCCUCCCGCCCCGUGAUGGGUGGAGAAAUCAGGUGCUUUACUGCCACCCCUGCCUCCACUUGGGAAGGACAGGCUGCCACCAGGGUCUGCCAGCCCAACACGGGGAUCCACGGGGCCCCAGGACUGUCAGGACUCAUCGACCCAGCUGUCACCCACAGGAGCCCCCAGAGUCUGUGCUGCACUCACCGGCAAAGCACUCAGCGUUUGACACUGGCAUCAUUCGGGCGGCCUCAGGCUAUGUGCUGUUUUCCAGUUGGUGGAGUCGGAGGAUGAGAAAACAG
ensembl:lncRNA